rnacentral:rRNA from 1 species
UACCGGCGCCUCAAGUGGUAGUCGCUUUUAUUGGGCCUAAAGCAUCCGUAGCCUGUUCUAUAAGUUUCCGGUCAAAUCCAUACGCUCAACGUAUGGGCUGCCGGAAAUACUGCAGAACUAGGGAGUGGGAGAGGUAGACGGUACUCGAUAGGAAGAGGUAAAAUUCUUUGAUCUAUUGAUGACCACCUGUGGCGAAGGCGGUCUACCAGAACACGUUCGACGGUGAGGGAUGAAAGCUGGGGGAGCAAACCGG